AUGACUGUUAUUGGGGACGCCUACCUGAGAGUUUCAGUCUACAUCCACCAAACUUUACAUCCUUAUUACAUGCAUAGUGGUCGGCUAGAAGGUGAUUUUCACCCAGGAGAAAGCACCCAUCAGCUGUGCUCUGCCAAUAUCCAGUAUUUUGGAGAAGGAACAAAAGUAACGGUUCUGGGGAAAAACAAUGAAAUCAUACCUCCAGCUGUGGCCAUCUUUUCCCCAUCAAAGCAAGAGAUCCAACAGAAAAGCAAGGCCACGCUGGUAUGCCUGGCCUCUGGUUUCUACCCUGACCACCUGAAUCUGGUCUGGAAGGUGAAUGGUGCUAACAGGACAGAAGGUGUGGGGACUGAUGAGUUUUCCACGCAGAAUGGGAGUACCUACUCCUUGACCAGCCGACUGAGGAUCUCAGACCAGGAAUGGUUCAACCCUUUGAAUUGUUUUGAGUGUGUUUUCAAUUUUUAAAGAAUGGAACCCUGGAAUUGAUACACAAAUUCAUCUACAGUGUUGCUGGUGAGCAAAAUAUAUGUGGGGAAAACCAUCAGAGAAGUGCUACAGCUGGGAAGUUUGUAUGCAUCAUGCUCAUUUUCAAGAGCAUUUUGUAUGGGAUAUUUGUGAUGGGGCUGUCUCCUGGUCAUCUUAGCGACCCUCUGCUGGACUCUUUACAAUUUGUUGAUAUCUCUGUUGUACUGACUCUGGGGCCCGGUGGAGGAAUGUGUGGACAAUAG